rnacentral:rRNA from 1 species
UAGUGAGUUUGAUCCUGGCUCAGAACGAACGCUGGCGGCGCGCUUAACACAUGCAAGUCGUACGGUCGGACUUCGGUUCGGCAGUGGCGCACGGGUGAGUAACGCGUGGGAACCUGUCUUGAGGUUCGGGACAACCGCGGGAAACUGCGGCUAAUACCGGAUAUGCCUAUGGGUGAAAGAUUAAUUGCCAGAAGAAGAGCUCGCGUCUGAUUAGCUAGUUGGAGAGGUAAAGGCUCACCAAGGCAUCGAUCAGUAGCUGGUCUGAGAGGACGAUCAGCCACACUGGAACUGAGACACGGUCCAGACUCCUACGGGGAGGCAGCAGUGGGGAAUUUUCCGCAAUGGGCGAAAGCCUGACGGAGCAAGACCGCGUGAGGAGGAAGGCUCUUGGGGUUGUAAACCUCUUUUGUCAGGGAAGAAGAAAGUGACGGUACCUUACGAGAAAGCCACGGCUAACUACGUGCCAAGCAGCCGCGGU